ensembl:lncRNA
GGAGGCAGAGGCGGCAGUGAGCCAAGAUCGUGCCACUGUACUCCAGCCUGGGCUACAGAGCGAGACCUUAUCUCAACAAUAAAAAUUAGUAAUGAGUGCCUGGACAACAUAACACGAUUUUGUUCCUGUUAAAAACAUUAGCCAGGCAUGGUGGUGUGCACCUGUGGUCCCAACUACUUGGGAGGCCUAAGUCUAGGAGGUUGAAGUUGCAGUGAGCUGUGACUGCGUCAUUGCACUCCAGCCUGGGCAACAGAAUGAGACACUGUCUCAAAAAAUAAAGAAAAAAAUAUUGGUAAUGAGGAUUUAUCAGGAAGAUGUAUGAGGACUUUGUAAUUUCACUAGUAUUAGCAUCUGCUGUUGAUUCUCUCCUUUUUUCAAAUUCAUUUUAUUUUAUUUUGAGACAGGUUCUUGUUCUCUCACCCCAGGCUGGAGUGAAGUGCUGUGAUCUCGGCUCACGGCAGCCUUAACUUCCUGGGCUCAAGUGAUCUUCCUGCCUGAGCCCAAGUAUCUGGGACUAUAGGCAGGCACCAUCACACCUGGCUAAUUUUUGUAUUUUUGUAGAGACAGGGUUUUGCCAUGUUGCCCAGGCUGGAAAUUUCUUAUUUUCUUAGAAACAGGGUAUUGCUCUGUCACCGCAAGCUGGAGUGAAGUUGGCAUGAUCAUGCAUCACUGUAGCCUCAACUCCUGGACCCAAGCCAUUCUCCUUCCUCAGCCUUGUAAGCAGCUAGGACUACAGGCACAUGCCACCAUGCCCAGCUAUUUUAUGGUUUAAUGUUUUUGUAGAGACAGGGUCUCACUUUGUUGCCCAGGCUGGUCUCAAAUGCCUGGUCUCAAGAAAUCCUCCGACCUUGGCCUCCCAAAGUGCCGAGAUGACAGGUGUGAGCCUCCAUGCCUGACCUCAGUGUUGAUUCUGGACCAAAUCAGCUCUUAAUAGGGUGGUUGCCAAAUGGUGGUUCUCUAACUUCAUCCCUUCUACAUUGAUUGGUGGGUCAGUGGUCACUCUGUGGUAAGGAACACUUCUCUCUUUGCUAUUUAUUCAGGGAUGUCAGUGUGGGUCACGGGGCGGCGGGGAGCAUUGUGUUAUUGAACAAGUUGUAAUCAGUCCCUACUGCCACAGAUUUUGAUGUCCAGAUUGUCCCUGGCUACGCCAGUGGGAGCCUGUAACUUGGACCUGUUUCCGUGUCUCCCUCAGGACACCAGCCAUGCCCUUUGCUUCCUAUAGCCUCCACCACACUAGCCUCCUGAAGCCAGACAUCUCUCAUCAGACGUCUGUGAAUGCGGACCCCACCUCCCACAAGAUGUGGAGGUCAGAAACUGCUCCAGGUGAGAGCCCAGCUGGUCUCAGCUUCUGUUUCAAAAGAAACUGUUUAGCCAGCAGGCGCCGUGGCUCAUGCCAGUAAUCCCAGCACUUUGGGAGGCUGAGGUGGGUGGAUCAUGUGAGGUCAGGAGUUUGAGACCAGCCUGUCCAACAUGGUAAAACCCUGUCUCUACUAAAAACACAAAAAUUAGCCAGGCAUGCUGGCAGCCGCCUGUAGACCCAGCUACUCAGGAGGCUGAGGCAGAGAAUUGCUUGAACCAGACGAGGCAGAGGCUGCAGUGAGCUGAGAUCACACCACUGCACUUUAGCUUGGGUGACAGAGCUAGACUCCAUCUCAAAAAAAAAAAAAAAAAAAAAA